AUCAUUUAUAUAGCACAUUUAAUUGCAACGUUGUUGCACAGUUACAUUAACCCCUUCACACGGUCUGAGUUACUUACCUGAUCGCCGUCGUUCCCCCGGCGGCGAUCAGCGUUGCUCCGGUUGUGGGGAGACUGCCUGCAGCCCAGACAGUCUCCCCACACUGAAUUAGGACCCCUGUGGCCAUGUGAUCGCUCAACAGAGCGAUCACAUGGUCACAAUAGGUGUCCAUGUGUCUGUCU